AGCGAACGCUGGCGGCGUGCCUAACACAUGCAAGUCGAACGUGAAAAGGGAAACCUGAGUAAAGUGGCGUACGGGUGAGUAACGCGUAGGUAAUCUACCCCAGAAUCUGGAAUAACCUGCCGAAAGGCGGGCUAAUACUGGAUAGAGCGAGGGAACUCGUAAGAGAGUUUUUCGGGAAAGGGAGCCCGCAAGGGCCUUCGUUCUGGGAUGAGCCUGCGUCUCAUUAGCUAGUUGGUAAGGUAACGGCUUACCAAGGCGAUGAUGAGUAGCUGGUCUGAGAGGAUGAUCAGCCACACUGGAACUGAAACACGGUCCAGACUCCUACGGGAGGCAGCAGUGGGGAAUCUUGCGCAAUGGACGAAAGUCUGACGCAGCCACGCCGCGUGAGUGAAGAAGGCCGUCGGGUUGUAAAGCUCUGUCGGAUGGGGCGAACAUCUUCAUAGUGAAUAGCUAUGAGGACUGACGGUACCAGCAAAGGAAGCACCGGCUAACUCCGUG
rnacentral:rRNA from 1 species